UACGUAGGUGGCAAGCGUUGUCCGGAAUUAUUGGGCGUAAAGCGCGCGCAGGCGGCUAUGUAAGUCUGAUGUUAAAGCCCGAGGCUCAACCUCGGUUCGCAUUGGAAACUGUGUAGCUUGAGUGCAGAAGAGGAAAGCGGUAUUCCACGUGUAGCGGUGAAAUGCGUAGAGAUGUGGAGGAACACCAGUGGCGAAGGCGGCUUUCUGGUCUGUAACUGACGCUGAGGCGCGAAAGCGUGGGGAGCAAACAGG
rnacentral:rRNA from 1 species